GUGGGGGACAACAAUCCGAAAGGGUUGCUAAUACCGCGUAAUGUAGUUGGUUGAGAUACUAACUAAGAAAGAUUUAUCGCUUUUAGAGGAGCCUAUGCUUGAUUAGCUAGUUGGUGGGGUAAAGGCCUACCAAGGCUACGAUCAAUAGCUGGUCUGAGAGGACGAUCAGCCACACUGGGACUGAGACACGGCCCAGACUUCUACGGAAGGCAGCAGUGGGGAAUUUUCCGCAAUGGGCGCAAGCCUGACGGAGCGACGCCGCGUAUGGGAUGAAGUAUCUAGGUAUGUAAACCAUUGUCAGUGGGGACGAAACAAAUGACGGUACCCACAGAGGAAGCAUCGGCUAACUACGUGCCAGCAGCCGCGGUAAUACGUAGGAUGCAAGCGUUGUUCGGAAUUACUGGGCGUAAAGAGUACGUAGGCGGUUUGAUAAGUCUGAUAUUAAAGACUGAGGCUUAACCUCAGGACUGUAUCGGAAACUGUCAGACUAGAGGACAAUAGAGGAAGUCGGAAUUCUCAGUGUAGCGGUGAAAUGCGUAGAUAUUGGGAAGAACACCAGUGGCGAAAGCGGACUUCUGGGUUGUUACUGACGCUGAGGUACGAAAGCGUGGGGAGCAAACGGGAUUAGAUACCCCGGUAGUCCACGCUGUAAACGAUGGAUACUAGAUGUAGCCGGUCUCGACCCCGGCUGUGUCGUAGCUAACGCAAUAAGUAUCCCGCCUGGGGAGUAUGGCCGCAAGGUUGAAACUCAAAGGAAUUGACGGGGGCCCGCACAAGCGGUGGAGGAUGUGGUUUAAUUCGACGCAACGCGAAGAACCUCACCCAGGCUUGACAUACAGGUGGUAGUGAACCGAAAGGGGAACGACCCGUGAGGGAGCCUGUACAGGUGUUGCAUGGCUGUCGUCAGCUCGUGUCGUGAGAUGUUGGUUUAAGUACCCUAACGAGCGCAACCCUCGUUGCCAGUUACAAGUGUCUGGCGAGACUGCCGGCCACAAGCCGGAUGAAGGCGGGGAUGACGUCAAGUCGGCAUGGCCUUUAUGUCUGGGGCUACACACACGCUACAAUGGGUGACUACAAUGGGUAGCCAAGUCGUGAGGCGGAGCCAAUCCCAUAAAAUCAUCCUCAGUUCAGAUUGCAGGCUGCAACCCGCCUGCAUGAAGUCGGAGUUGCUAGUAAACGCGCGUCAGUUAUAGUGCGUUGAAUACGUUCCCGGGUCUUGUACACACCGCCCGUCACACUAUGGGAGCUGGCAACACCUAAAGCCGGUAGCAUGACCGCAAGGAGUGCGCUGU
rnacentral:rRNA from 1 species